GCUUACGGCCACACCGCGGGUUCACGCCCGAUCUCGUUUGAUCUCGGAAGCUAAGAUAGGUUAGGCCUGGUUAGUACUUGGAUGGGAGACCGCCUGGGAAUACCAGGUGCUGUAAGCU
ensembl:rRNA 5S_rRNA 5S ribosomal RNA